rnacentral:rRNA from 1 species
AGUGAACGCUGGCGGUAGGCCUAACACAUGCAAGUCGAACGGCAGCACAGUAAGAGCUUGCUCUUACGGGUGGCGAGUGGCGGACGGGUGAGGAAUACAUCGGAAUCUACUUUUUCGUGGGGGAUAACGUAGGGAAACUUACGCUAAUACCGCAUACGACCUACGGGUGAAAGCAGGGGAUCUUCGGACCUUGCGCGAUUGAAUGAGCCGAUGUCGGAUUAGCUAGUUGGCGGGGUAAAGGCCCACCAAGGCGACGAUCCGUAGCUGGUCUGAGAGGAGGGUCGGCGGCGCGGGAGGGGAGACGGGGUCCAGGGGCCGGCGGGAGGGAGCAGUGGGGAAUGGGGGGCAAUGGGGGGGAGCGUGGUCCAGGGGGGGGGCGUGGGUGAAGAAGGCGUUGGGGGUGGGAAGCCGUUUUGUGGGGAGAGAAAAGGGGCAGGUUGAGACGGCGCGGGUCUGACGGUACCCAAAGAAUAAGCACCGGCUAACUUCGUG